rnacentral:rRNA from 1 species
AACGAACGCUGGCGGCAUGCCUAACACAUGCAAGUCGAACGAGACCUUCGGGUCUAGUGGCGCACGGGUGCGUAACGCGUGGGAACCUGCCCUUAGGUUCGGAAUAACUCCCCGAAAGGGGUGCUAAUACCGGAUAAUGUCUUCGGACCAAAGAUUUAUCGCCUUUGGAUGGGCCCGCGUUGGAUUAGCUAGUUGGUAGGGUAAAAGCCUACCAAGGCGACGAUCCAUAGCUGGUCUGAGAGGAUGAUCAGCCACACUGGGACUGAGACACGGCCCAGACUCCUACGGGAGGCAGCAGUGGGGAAUAUUGGAAAAUGGGCGAAAGCCUGAUCCAGCAAUGCCGCGUGAGUGAUGAAGGCCUUAGGGUUGUAAAGCUAUUUUACCCGGGAUGAUAAUGACAGUACCGGGAGAAUAAGCACCGGCUAACUCCGUG